rnacentral:tRNA from 2 species
GCCACCGUAGUUCAAUGGAUAGAACGAGCGCCUCCUAAGCGCUAGAUACAGGUUCGAUUCCUGUCGGAGGCACCA